CCCUUUUAUUUCUUGCCUCUCUCUUUCAUACCCUUUUACUGUUACCUGGUUGACCAGAGCUGUCACUUUAGAAAGUGGAUGGUCUUCACACAGAGACUGACUUGAUUUUAGAUGGGAAUGCUGGCCUGUUUCCUCCCAGGGCGAUCUGUAGUGCCACCUUCUGGACCUGUCCACCCUGCUCCUCACCUGAGCACCUGGCCAGCAGCUGUGCAUUUCCAUUGUCUUCCAUAGGUGAUAGUAAAUACAAUGUGUUCCUUUCAUAGACUAAUAGUUUACCUUCUCUUUGAUAUAACAGAUUAAUGAAAGAAAUCUGUAUCAAUGCGAGCUCGACACUAAACCAUCGUUAUCCAUAGAAAAGUAAAAGUGGAGGGAGUGAAGUACAGUAUGAGGACCUGUAGGCUCAGCAGAUCCAGCUGCUCUCAAAUGCAUGCAUGGUGUUUUCCUUUUUCUCCACCACUCUUCUGUCUUGUGCACCACAUUCUCCCCAGGAGUGGAGGUGACCUCGGGGCAGCCUCUAGGCAGCAAGCCCAGCAGAAGCUUCGGGGUGGAAAGUGCAUGAAUGGAGGUCUUGGAACCACGUUUAGCAUGGACUCGAGUGUAAAUCCCAGCGCCCGCCUCUCCCAGUCAUUCAGCCUCUCAACCCCUCAGCAGAACUGGAAAAUAAGAUGGAAGAAAAGUCUUCCAGUGUGGUUGUUCAGAUUGCAGAAAGUUCUCAUUUAUUCACUAAUGCCCCUGAUGGACGUCGCCAGCUGA
rnacentral:lncRNA from 1 species